UCAUCCUAAAAAGCAUCAUUAAAUUAAAAUAAUCUUGAAAUCUAAAGACAUUAUCCAAUUCAUACCUUAAAUACCACUGUUCAAUAAAAUUUACACAACAUAAAAAUUAAAGUAGUACAUUAGGUACAUGAUGAUUUUUAGAGAAUACUGAAGUUCAACCUCCUACCAAUGACAUAAAACGAAGUACUAAAACAACAAAAAAGUUCAUUUAUAAUCUGAGCUGCCAAUUACCCACUAAUGGCUAACAUUAAGUUGCCUUUUCUUAUCUUGACCAGACACUGAGCUAUCAAAGAAAAGCUUCCUAGAGAAUACAAAAAGAUUAAAAACAUACCAUCAGAUAUGGGAACCCUUGAUACUAGAUAAUUUUACUUAGAAUUUAACCUUUUAAAAAUAUUUUAUUUAUUUGAAAGAGAGAAAGAAAACACUUGAGUGGGGGAAGAGCAGAGGGAGAGGGAGAGAAUCUCAGGCAGACUCUGCACUGAGCAGAGCCUGACACAGAGCUUGAUCUUACAACCCUGAGAUCACAACCUGAGCUGAAACCAAGUCAGAUGCUUAACCAACUGAGCCACCCAGGUGUCCCUUAAACUGUAACUUUUAUUUUAAUGAUUUCAAAUAAUUGAUGUCCAGUCCACUGUCACUUGCUUACGAUUUUCUAUUCUCUCACUUUGGUCUUUAGUUUGCCAAACUAGUGCCAAUGGCUCAUAAUACAAAAACAAAUGAGAGUAUCUUACGUCUGUAAUGACUACUGGAAAAACAACUAAGUUCUUAGCUUCCUAAAGGAUAAGAAGAUAGAAAAGAAACUGAGUUGGGAUUCAAGAAUAGAAAAGCUGCAUUAUGAAGCCUUUUCACAUAAUAAAAAGUGGAAAAAUUAAAGUACAAGAGAAAAAUGCAAAACAAAUCUGCCUAAUGUUUCAGAAGGCAGUGAGAAGGGACCUGAACAACUGAAUACCAACUCUAACACUAAAAGAAAGUAAGUGACUCAAGAAUUACUGUUUUAACAGUCUUUUGAAAAAAAAAUCAAGCAAUAUUUACCUGUACCAUAGCAACAAGAUCUUGUAACUGUCUCAGUUUCUGUUUUGCAGCCAUAAGUCUAUUGAUCUUCUGUUCAAAUUCAGCAUCUUCUGGAGCUUCAUCAACCAGACUGCUCCUGUGACUAGUUAAUGAAGCCCCACUGACUCCCUCAUCUUCUGCUUCAUCCUCUUCUUCCUCAUCAUCCUCACCUUGUGCACCAUGAAUCCCCUGUUCUCCUUCUCUAUUAUAGUGACAAUCU